rnacentral:lncRNA from 1 species
GAUAAUAAAUCCAAAUCUUUAUUUUAUAAUAUUUCCGCUGUCAAAAAUUAUGUACAUUCAUAUUUUAAUACGUUAAUUAGAUUAGGGUGUUACAGAAGUACGUCUUCUUGAUCUCCUUGAAUUUGACUUGAUAACUUGAACUUGAAUUUGAAUUUGAUAUGUUUCUUGAAAUCUUUGGAGGGAAGUUCGCCUUCUUGAUCUCCUUGGAAUUGAUUUGAUGACUUGAACUUGAAUUUGUAUUUGAUGACGUCAAUCUAGAGGGCUUCCACCUUAUUUCUGAAUUAAACGUUGACUUUGAUGAAUUUGAUGAAGAACGUGUUGACUUCCUUGUAGAACGCCUUGAACCUUGAGCUUUGGGCUUUAUAACGUUGAUGCAGAGGGUCUACGCCUUAUUUCCGGAUCGAGCGUUGGAUUUGACUUGA